rnacentral:rRNA from 1 species
GUCUGUUCGACUUUUAAUUAAUUACAUGAUUUGAGUUCAGACCGGUGUAAACCAGGUCGGAUUCUAUCUUCUUUAUUCUCCUCCUAGUACGAAAGGACCUGAAGAGA